GGUCCUCCUGUCCAGCGCAGUGUGGGUCACCAGCAUCUAUGUCCUGGUGGAGCCAAUAGACACUCUCUCCUCCCUCACCCUCCAGUCCCUCUUGCAAGAACCCCGGCAUGCUCUGGGCACUGGAUGCACGCAGCCACAUCAGAAAGGCGGUUAAGAGGGGCGGGGGAAGCGCUCUGAUCCACGAUGUCCUGCGAGCUGAUCAAUCAGCUUCACGCUGGAAAUAACCAUGACACAGUGAGAGGGCAGCCGCCUGCAAACCAGAAAGAGAGCCCUCACCAGAACCUGACCAUGCUGGAAUGCUGAUCUCAGAUGUCCAGCUUUCAGAACUUGGGCAGUAUGGCAUGAAACCCCUGCAACUCAGAGAUGGCUGGUUUAAUUGGAGAAGUGAAGGAUUUGUAUUCAGGCUCUACCACCAGCAGCUGCACAUCUGAAUAAAAACCUGAACUCAAAGAAGAGAACUGGAAUAAUCCUCCCUAAUCCCACUUCCCAUGGUGAGCCCCAGCUGGGACGCUGACACAUGGCCCCAACUUUUUCUCCUGCCUGAUGUCUGGACCCACAGGGGACAGAUGGUGGUCCCUGGUCACUGAAGUACCCACAGAACCCGUGCAAGAGGCACAAAACCAUCUGCUUAGUGGUCAUGUGGCAGCAGACAGUAUCUCAGAAGUCCUCGCAGCAUAUGACUUCACUGAUGAAGAUGGAUCACACUUGAGCAGGGAUUCUUGAUCUCUGCAAAACAGCUCAUACACAACAGGAACAAUCUCACAGAUAAGAAAAACUCCAGAAGUUGGUCUCAGGCUAUGAAAAUUUCUGCCACAAUAUGAUUUAUGUGAAAAUAAAUAAAGUGGGUCUACUACUUUAUCAUUAGCAAUAAGUGGAUUCUUUCUUCCUGCCACAGAAAAACUGAGGAUGUAAAUGAACACCAUACUCGCAUUGUUGCUUAUGCUGUUGUUCUUCACCCACUGCCUGAGGUGUAGGUUUGCAAAUAAAAUCAAACCAUCAUUAUUCUGGACUGAUUAUCCAAUUAGAGGAUGAAAUACGCCA